GACGAACGCUGGCGGCGUGCUUAACACAUGCAAGUGGAGCGACGAACCAGGGCUUGCCCUGGGCAGAGCCGCGAACGGGUGAGUAACACGUGGGUAACCUACCCCGAUGACCGGGACAACCCGAGGAAACUCGGGCUAAUACCGGAUGUUGUCGUUUUCUCUACGGAAACCGACUAAAGAUAGCUUCGGCCUUCGCAUCGGGACGGGCCCGCGGCCCAUUAGCUUGUUGGUGGGGUAACGGCCUACGAAGGCGACGAUGGGUAGCUGGUCUGAGAGGACGAUCAGCCACACUGGGACUGAGACACGGCCCAGACUCCUACGGGAGGCAGCAGUGGGGAAUCUUGCGCAAUGGGCGAAAGCCUGACGCAGCAACGCCGCGUGGGGGAAGAAGGCCUUCGGGUUGUAAACCCCUUUCAGUUGGGACGAAGCUUCCAGAGUUAAUAGCUUUGUGGAGUGACGGUACCUUCAGAAGAAGCCCCGGCUAACUACGUGCCAGCCGCCGCAGUAAGAC
rnacentral:rRNA from 1 species